UAAGGAAAACAAAGCGAGCGGUGAGAGCUGCUCGCCGCGCACAUAAAAAAUUUUAUGCGCACGAAUUUGUGGAGGGGUUAUAGGCUGGCCGGGCGUUGACACUGCUUACUUUGCAGGACUCACCCGUGCGGGCCUCCCAACCCGCCAAAACUACAGCCGAAGUUUUGUACUGAUGUUUUUUUUUGUCAAAUUUAGGUUAAAUAAAAUAGUGCAAGUAUAGGCAAAUUUAAGUUAAAUAAAUUAGUAAGUAAAUCUGACUGUAAUUAGCAUUGGUUUAUAUCAAUUAUAAGCGAAUUUUGAACUGGCUUGCCCUUAUAAGUAUUAGUAUCUUAAUACUGAACAGGAUAUGUUGAACAACUAAGAAGAAAAUUUGAGAAGCCAAUUUUUGUAUGCUUAUAUUUCUAUAUGCGUUUUGUUUAUUAGUAUUAGAUGAGUCUUAAUUUUGUUUAUUAGUAUUAGAUAGUCUUAAUAUCAAACGAGUUCUAAUAAUAUUAGAUCUUUAUUAGUAUUAGAUGAGUCUUAAUACCAAACGAGUUCUAAUAAUGUUAGACCAAACGAGUCAUAAUAAUGUUAGACAGCCGUCAAUCCAAAACUAGCUUUGAUGUUGUUACGGUUAAGCUUUUUUUCCUUUUCAACUUCUGUGUUAGCAUUAGUAAAUGGGACUCGUAAAAAAGCGAUCAGGGAUUGGGAUAUAAACCAAGGACCAAACCGAAAAGGCCCAAUUCGGAAUCCUACGAGCCCACGCGACCAGGCCGGUAGGCGGUAGACGUAAACCUCGGCCCGAACUGGAACGGGUCGGGUCGGGUCAAACCCGGUCCCACCGAAACUGAAGCGAAACUCAUGCUCACUCGCUUCCGCGUGGAGGGAGAGGGAGAACGGAGCUCCAUGGCGGAGAACGACGAUCUCGGGAUCGAACGCACCGCUUCCAUUCAAAACCCUACCAAACCCUCAUCUUCUAUCGGCGCUAGGGUUCGCGCAACCCACGACGACGACGAAGAUGAGGUUAGGGUUUCUCUUCGCCCCGUUCUCCCUCAUUCCUCAUCUGAUUUAAUCCAUCAGGAGGCCGCGCGAGCUCUAUCAGUUAUGGACAGUUUUCAUCAGCCAUGGUUGACUGGAGUGGAAUUGCUUGACGAUGCAAAUCGGAAUAAACAUGUUCUUCCCACCGGACUUGAAGGAAUCGAUGUUCUUCUUGGAGGUGGGUUGCGUGAGGGUCAGUUGAUAGAAAUAGCUGGUCCAUCUUCUUCUGGUAAAACCCAACCGUUGCAAAUGCAGGUUUGCUUACAUUCAGCUUCAUGCAUUGCAGACAAGGGUUCUGUUAUGUUCUUGGACACUUGUAAUUCCUUUUCACCAAACAGAAUAGCAUGCAUGGUUAAUCAAUUUUCUGGUCCCCUGUUCAAGGAGGCAAAAGAAAGAAGGCUCGAGAGGAUUAUGAGCAGUAUACUCUGUCAGCCAAUAUAUGAUAUAUUCGAGCUUUUGGAUACACUGCAUCAGCUAGAAUCAACUUUAAAGCAUACGGUAAAAACUGGAGGCUAUAAGAUAUGUUUGCUUAUUAUUGACUCAAUCUCAUCUUUAAUCGCGCCAAUUCUUGGAGGGAAGAGUCCACAAGGAAGGUUGUUGAUGGUAUCUGCCGGAAUUGUUUUAAAGAAGUUAGCGCAUGAAUUCAAUCUAGCUGUACUGGUGACCAAUCAUAUGGUUGGUGGAGAGGGAGGAAUCAUAAAGCCUGCUCUUGGUGAGAGUUGGAAGAACAUUCCCCAUGUACGCCUUGUGGUCUCCCGUGAUCAACAGAGCAAUGUUUUUACAGCAACUGUACUAAAACACACAAUGAGGGUAGCGUACUAUAUUCAUGUUUCAGAAUUUACUUGUAACACGGAUAUAAAUUAUAGCCAAAUGAAGAACCAAUCAAAGAAUCAUAGGAUUUUAAACAUGCUGAUAUUGCACUUAUAUAAUGUCCCUAUAGCAGCAUGUUUUUGAUUUCGAAUAUUGCAACUCUGGGGUAAAACCCCCCCCCAAACUGUGCUUGUAUGUUCUUUGCUGACAAUUUGCCAUGUGUCAGAGUUUGCAAGGAAAAAAGUACACAAUGUUGACUAAUCUUUAGUUUAACUUAAGGAGCAUUGGAAGAUUAGAAGUUACGAAUGUUUCCUUUCUCGAUCAUUUAGGGAUCAUCUUUAUUCUAUUAACAAGUCACUUAACAAUUAUCCAUCAUCAACUACGAUUUUGGAUGCCACAACAAUUAUUGAUCAUCAACUACGAUUUUGGAUGUCAUAAGAACUAUCAAUCAUCAACUACGAUUUUGGAUCAUUUAGGGAUCAGCUGUAUUUCAUUAACAAGUAUCAUAACAAUUUGUGGUUGUUAUGCCCUAUCUAAAUAUAUUAGGCGCCAAUUUUUGGACAUUAGUUCACUUUAUACUUGUCAUCUCUUUUUUGUAUUUUGUAAUAUACUCUGUCUAGCCCGAGUUCUCAUCUUCUGGUAAAAUGUCUGCAAGAUUAUCUUCAGGAUAUUCCUGUGAUGAGUUGUGCAGCUUCCUUUUGGAACUUUUCUUCCUUGCUGACUAUUUGCGCAAAUGUACAAGCUAGACGAUCGGCUUCUGGUCGCACCGCAAAAUUUGUGAUCCACAACUGAACAGAGGCAAGCACUUCUCCGGAUAGGGUGAGGAAGACAAGGUGGCAGGAAGGUGCUGCUAUCCUCAGCUUCUGAUGAGGAGCACGAAAUAUCUCAUGCGGCACUCCCUAGCUGAUUAUUCUUUUCCUUUUGUUUGAAUGCUAACUGUUUUUGCUUCUCUAGCUUUUGUUUUUUGCACAAAUUGGGGGGGCCAUAAAGCUGGCGAGCUAGUAUCGUUUCAUGAACGACGUACGCAAGAAUCACUGCUAUGGACAAAGAGGAAUCCUUUACUCGUCCUUCGAACGUCCGUUAUUGCAUAUGGUCUUGUGAACUGUGAGGAAAACAUCCAGGAGAGUAGAUAAAGAUUAAACAGCUUAUUUUGUAUUGAGAUUACCCUUGUGUUGAGGAACCUUUUGCUUUGUCUUCGAGGAGGGUCGGAAUCUUUGUGUUUGGACAUUUUUUUUGUUCCUGUGUGAUGAGGUGGCCAAUAAUUUACCCUCUGAAUGAUAGCAGCCCAAUAGGAACCUGCCAUGUCAGACAGACAGAGUUGUUGGAUGAUAUGGUAUGGAUGUUACAUCUA